rnacentral:tRNA from 1 species
GAGGGUUUAGCUUAGUGGUAGAGUGUAUGUUUAGCAUGUCUGAGGUCCUGGGUUCAAUCCCCAGCACUUCCA